rnacentral:rRNA from 1 species
UACAGAGGUCUCAAGCGUUGUUCGGAUUCAUUGGGCGUAAAGGGUGCGUAGGUGGCGCCGUAAGUCAGGUGUGAAAUUUCGGAGCUUAACUCCGAAACUGCAUUUGAUACUGCGGUGCUUGAGGACUGGAGGGGAGACUGGAAUACUUGGUGUAGCAGUGAAAUGCGUAGAUAUCAAGUGGAACACCAGUGGCGAAGGCGAGUCUCUGGACAUUUCCUGACGCUGAGGCACGAAAGCCAGGGGAGCAAACGGG